rnacentral:rRNA from 1 species
UCGAGAAUCUUCCGCAAUGGACGAAAGUCUGACGGAGCGACGCCGCGUGAUUGAUGACGCACUUCGGUGUGUAAAGAUCUUUUAUGAGGGAAGAAGUUUAUUGACGGUACCUCAUGAAUAAGGGGCUCCUAAUCUCGUGCCAGCAGGAGCGGUAAUACGAGAGCCCCGAGCGUUAUCCGGAAUUAUUGGGCGUAAAGGGUGCGUAGGUGGUUGUGUUAGUCGUUUGUCAAAUCUCUGGGCUUAACCUAGA